rnacentral:sRNA from 1 species
CAAUAACGGUUUUAGUAUUCCAAAACUGUUUAAAAAAUGACCAAUGGCGACUGGCAGGCCAGGUAUUCUCAUCAAUACUUAAAGCGUUGGUACGCAUUCCCCCCAAAUGCCGCACCAAUAAAGGCAUUCAUGGAUGGCAUGCCUUUGUUUUACUCCUAAUGGUCUUGACCCGGUUUCACCCCCCAGAAUCCGG